rnacentral:rRNA from 1 species
CAAUAGCGUAUAUUUAAGUUGCUGCAGUUAAAAAGCUCGUAGUUGGAUUUCGGGUGGGACUGGCCGGUCCGCCGUUUCGGUGUGCACUUGCUACGCCCACCUUGCUGCCGGGGACGUGCUCUUGAGUUCACGCUCGGGACACGGAGUCGGCGAGGUUACUUUGAGUAAAUUAGAGUGUUCAAAGCAGGCCUACGCUCUGAAUACAUUAGCAUGGAAUAACACGAUAGGACUCUGGCCUAUCUUGUUGGUCUGUAGGACCGGAGUAAUGAUUAAGAGGGACAGUCGGGGGCAUUCGUAUUUCAUUGUCAGAGGUGAAAUUCUUGGAUUUAUGAAAGACGAACUACUGCGAAAGCAUUUGCCAAGGAUGUUUUCAUUAA